GUGGCUGUCAGUUUUGUCCAAAAGCUUAUGAAAAGGUUUCUGUUUAUUUCCUUUCAGUAUCAUUUCAUCUCCUUAAGAGCAGCUAGUUACUUCAUAGAUACAAUGGGGAUAAGGUAUUGGGUAGAUACAGCCGUUCCAAAUGGGAGAAAUUGGCCAAAACAAAGGGGUUACAGCGCCCAUACAAGUCUGUCCAAAGUCUUUUCUAAAAUAAUUUAUAUUUGGUUUAUAAAACACUUUCCAGUGAGAAACUGAAAGCCUUUAUAUGGUCCUUAAAAGUAUAGGUCGGUUGGAAUCCUGAUUGCAGUGGAUUUGAGAAGUGAAUGAGAGUUGAAGAAGUUGAGAUAUUAGCAACAGAUUAUUCUUUCCAAGAGUCCAGCUGUGCUGAGAACAGAGAAAGGUAGGUAGGUAAGGAUUAAGGGAAGAAUUUAGAUUUUAUAUGGGCAAGACAAGAAAAUUAUAUGAUGUGAGAGUGAGUGUUGAUAUAUACAGUCGAUCCUUGAACAACACGGGUUUGAACUGUGUGGAUUCCUUUAUACACUAAUUUUCUUUCGCCUCUGCUAUCCCUAUCUUCUUUUGUGUCUAAAUGCCUACAGCAAGAACAACCCCUCUUCUUUGCUCCUCAGCCUACUCAAUGUGAAGACGAUGAGGAUGAGGACCUUUAUGAUGAUCUACUUUCACUUAAUUAGUAGUAAAUAUCUUAUUGACAUUUUGUUUUCUCUUUAAGAAUACAGUGUAUAAUAUAACAUUCAAAAUAUGUUAUUAGUUGAUUAUGUUAUCAGCAAGGCUUCUGGUUAACAGUAGGCUAUUAGCAGUUAAGUUUUUGAGGAGUUAAAAGUUACACAUGGAUUUUUGACUGUGUCGGAGGUUGAUACCUCUAAUCCCCUCAUUGUUCAAGGCUCAACUGUAUAUAGAAAGACUGAAAGUGAAGGAAGGAGAAGGAAUAAACAGUAUUCUGGAGAGAUAAAGUCAGUAGCACAGAUGGAAAAAUGAGAGUCUAACAAGACAUAAAAAUUUUUCUCCUUGAGACUGGGAAUAGCUGUAAAUAGGUUUGUGAUAGGGAAUUAAGGAUAAUUCAUGUAUUCACAGUCUGGUUCAGUCAGCUGGCCUACCUUACUUUGGCCACAAAGAAUGAUCUUUCUGAUUUAUUUGUUGCCUUAGUUUAUGAUAUCAUUUCCAGACUUUUAGAAAGAUUAGCUGAAUAUAACAUUUAGAUAGACUAUGUCUUAAAAUGAAUCAAGUCUAGUUUUUUCUCUUCUUAAUUUUAAACAUUGAUUUCUGGGAAAGUUAAAUUUAUAAUGAUCCAUUUACGCAAAAAUCAAAUAAUUGUAUCAAUAAUCUGUUUGCUAUAUGCAAAUGUUAUGUUUUAUUCCACAAGUUGAUAUUUUAAUUAUCAUGAAUUAUAUUUGCCUUUUAUGGCAGGUUAUAAAACUGAUGUUAGUAGUGUGGUUUAUCAAAAGACCAUUGACUUUGGAAUUAUAAAACCCUGAGUUAAAAAUCUUAGUUCUAUCACAGAUUAACCAUUUGAUAUUGAGUAUUGGCAAACUUGUUUUCCUUUUUUGAGAUAAGAGUCUUGCUCUGUUGCCCAGGCUGGAGUGCAGUGGCGUGAUCAUAGGCUUACUACAGCCCGGACCUCUUGGGCUCAAGCAAUCCUACUCUCUCAGCCUCCCAAGUAGCUGGGACUAUAGGUGUGCACCACCAUUCUCAGCUACUUUUUUAUUUUAUUUUAUUAUUUUUUUUUUUGUAGAGACUAGGUCUUACUAUGUUGCCUAGGCUUGUCUCUAAUUCCUGGUCUCAAGAAAGCCUUUUACCUCAGCCUCCCAAAGUGCUGGGAUUACAGGCAAGAGCCAUUGUGCCCAGCCCAAACUUCUUGUAAAAUUUAUCUUAAAUUGGAGAUAAUACUGGCUACUUGAUAAGAAAAUUGAAAGGAUUAAAUGAGUUAUGCUAGUUUUCUCUUAACUGCUGAAUGAAACCUUUAAAAUGUAGAACCUGUUUGUGAGGAUUUCCACUACCAGUAUCUGUUUAAGAUGGUGCCAUUCCUAUUUUCACUAAAGGAUUAACUACCAGUGUUGACUACAGUAUACUCAUAAAAAUCAUAUUUAAAGCAUGGUAUUCAUUCCCUUUCCUGAAACCCACAUUCCCUUUCUUCUCCCCAGGGCACUGUUUUACAGUUAGUUUGCAUACCAACAUAGGAUAGGUGGCUCUGUGAAUUAUAUAAUGUAGUGUGGACCACCCCAUUUUAAUAAACACCUACAACUUCUAAAACGUAGUUUUCAUGAAAUUCUAAAAUUGUAUUUGAAGAGUUUUAGUGACAUGUAGGCCAUAUUAAUUAGGUCACUGAAGUUUUAGAUUUCUUAUAUUGCAUUUAAUUUUUAAUUAGGCUUGGUGAACUUCCUCAAUGCUCCCAAAGACCCUAGACCCACCUCGUGGGCUUUAUUAUCUAAUAGGAAGUUAAAUUGAGUUUAGGAUUGGGAAACAUUACCUUACAUAGAGCAAAUAUUUGUUGGAACAUAACAUUUACAGAUUGUCAGUCCAAAUGCUGGGCCAUUUUAUAAGCUACAAUGAGGUGUAUUGUUUAUUUUAGAUUCUAGUGUAUGAUUCUUGAAGAACUUCAGGAUGUUAGCAAUAAUAGUUACGAUAUACUGAAUUCCACUGUAUACAUAGAGUAGAAAAUGAGGCUCAGAAAGGUUCACUGACUUGCUUAAGCUU
rnacentral:lncRNA from 1 species